UACGAAGGGGGCUAGCGUUGCUCGGAAUUACUGGGCGUAAAGGGCGCGUAGGCGGCGGUUUAAGUCGGGGGUGAAAGCCUGUGGCUCAACCACAGAAUGGCCUUCGAUACUGGGACGCUUGAGUAUGGUAGAGGUUGGUGGAACUGCGAGUGUAGAGGUGAAAUUCGUAGAUAUUCGCAAGAACACCGGUGGCGAAGGCGGCCAACUGGACCAUUACUGACGCUGAGGCGCGAAAGCGUGGGGAGCAAACAGG
rnacentral:rRNA from 1 species